UGGGGAUCCUUACAAAGGGCUAGCUCUGAGUUUUGGGGCUCUCACCUUCAGAGGUAAAGAGUUAGAGCAGAAAUGGACCUGGAGCCCACAGACCAAGAUUCAAAUACCCUCUAGCUAUGUGGUACUCCCUCUGUGGCCCUCAACUUCCUCCUCUGUUGAAUGGGGUUGUCAUGAAAAGGAAGUAAGUUAAUGCAUGAAAAGGGCUUGGUACAUGAUCAUUGAUCUACAAAAGAUUUAGAGAAAACUGAAGCACAGGAAGUUUAUGGAACUUGCUCAAGGUCCCACGGUUGCCCUGAAGCCAUGCUGAUUGAGAGGAGAAACAGAAAAAUCUCCAAGCAUUCCCCUGCUCCUAAGCUCCUAUUUCCAAAAAAGUCAACUAUCAUUAAUCCAACAUCUCAAGAGCUUGGAGAAGCUGGGCCAGAAGUAGGCUGGUGCUCGGCGAUGGACUAUAUGAUGGGGACCUGCCAGGGAAGGAGACAUCUUCAGAGGGAGCUCCUUAAGAACUAGGGAUUGGCUUCAGAGACCCUUCUCCAGCCCCCACACAUUGUCUCACACACACGGAUAAUACCAAUACUGAUAUUAUCAGUACUUGCA